rnacentral:tRNA from 2 species
ACAGUCGUGGCCGAGUGGUUAAGGUGAUGGACUAGAAAUCCAUUGGAGUCUCCCCCCGCACAGAUUUGAAUCCUGUCAACUGCG